rnacentral:rRNA from 1 species
AUGCUGACAAAGGCGCAAUGGAUUGCACUAUCUAAAGAAAAGCAAGGUGGAUCCACGAGUAGUAGCAAGAAGAAGGGAAAAGGGAAGCAGCGCUCGGCGAGAAAGAACUUUGCCAACUCAGAUGCUGAGGAUGCGCCUGCACCGCAGAGGAGGAAGUUUGAUAUCAGAAAAGUGAGGUGUCAUAAAUGUGGCCUCCUUAGUCACUUCAAGGCUAACUGUGAGGAAGCAGCAAAGCAACGGGUGCUCAUGUUUGAGGAAGGAAAUGAUGAGGAUAUGAUGUCGAUGUGCGAGCUAUUGGAGAAGGAGGAUCCAGAUGAUCUUGAUCAGCUGGACAUAGGUCCGGUGAGUACAUCCGCGAUAAACCCAGAUGAAGUCGUGGUGUCAGAAGUCCAUGAUGCAAGGCGUGACAGUAUGAACGUGCUAAACCUAGGCGAACACAUGGCGCUAGAAGUCCAUGACGCAAGGCGUGAAGAUAUGGCCAUGCCAGAAGAGGGCGGAGAUGUGGCGCUAGAAGACAGCAACACGAGGCAGACCGCUGUGAUCACAUAUCGAAAUCAUGAAGUAUGA